AAAAAGGAGGAGGGAGUGAGGGGAAGAGAGACAAGGGGAGGGAAAGAGGAGAAGGAGGAGGGAUAGGAGGAAAAGAGAUAUGUGGAGAAGGGGGAGGGGAUGGUGUCUUCGCGCCUCCUCGCGUGGGGCGGUGUUUAGAGCCUGGCAAUGGGAGACUGGACAGCCCCGUGGUACAGAAGACCGCCCCACACCCUCUCAUAAACUUUAUUACUCCCUACCCAUUGGUCCCUCUCGCCCUCUUCCCUCUGUUCCCUAUAUCUCCAGGGAAAUGCACCUAGCUUUCAGUCUGGCUCCGCUUGAUGGAAAACUCAGAGCUCGAGGAGGCGACCCUGACUCGACCCGGCAGAAAAGAGGAGUUCCAGAGGAUAGAGGAUACCAGUCUAUCACGGAGCUGAAACAGCAGACACAGCAGCAGGAACUGGACGCUGAGAACGGAUAUCCUUUACCAUAAGCACAGAGCAGAAAGAGCCAGCUGCAAGUAGGCGGCAGCGGAGAAAUAACCUAUCAGAUGGUGCUGAAACCCGGGAGAAGUUAAGUCCCCAGCGCGAUGGUUUUGGUCUUUCCUGGCCACGUGGGAACCACUUCUGUCCCUCUCUCUUCUCUGCUGGAUACAUCAUUUCUUCGGACUCACGAGUACCCAUCCCUAGAUAUCCUGACUAUCCAGGUCCAGGACCCUCUGAGCUCUUUGCUGAGUUGCGGC
rnacentral:lncRNA from 1 species